rnacentral:rRNA from 1 species
AUGCUUCCUUGCAAACCAGACCCAGUUAUGGCACGCCAUGCAUGUUUACCCCUUUUUGUGAGAGCAGUGAGCCAAAGUUCUGUGUGUCAUGGAUCGCUGAGUCUUGAUCACCAUAGAGAUACGAGAGUAGGAAACACUUGCAUCCAUCAGGCCAGGUUGAAAAUUUCCUUGACACCCAUACAGCCGAGACAUAGCACUAGGAUGUCGGACUUGACAAGUACAACAAGAGUAUUAAUAGCCUUGAUCGGGAGGCGCCUUCUCGGAACUAUCCAUAAUCCUGCUGUUCUGGAAAAUGUAGCAGAAAUAAAUCAUGUAUUUGCCUAUCUGUAUUAUGAAAUGUUAGAAGAAACCCAACACAAAGUUAAGAAUCAAGUAUAUGAUUAG